AAAAUUCCUGCAAUCACCACCAUUAAUACUCAAUUCCACUCCUACAAACUCUGUGGCUAUAAACCCAGAGUUUAUACUCUCAUCCUCUCUAACAAAAAAUAAUAAUCCUAAGGAUGCGGCACAACAUUCCCAACAGCUGUCGACUUCUUCCAGUUACUCUUCUCUUCCUUCUCCGACGCCACUGUCAAAAUCUCCAAUCAUCCCGGUUCUACUAUUGCAUGAUGGAUUAUAUAAUUACGUACACAGUCCUUUUCUACCAAGGAAACGUCUUGACAAUUACUUUAAUAAGAACAAUGAAAGCACAAGUCUAAGCAUGCUCAGGAAAUCCGAGUCCCACAAGGAAAAGGGGGGAAACCAGCUAACAGUAUCAAAUAAGAACUCGGGUCAGGCGCCAAUUAAGCUUGAUGAUUUAUCAGCAACACCAGCAGCUAGCCGUUAGAUUAACAACGCAGUUACAUGCGAAGAUCGAUGAUGAUUCCCUUGCCAGAAGACAUCCAGAUUGACAUUCUGUCAAGAUUACAAGUAAAACCCCUAAUGCGGUUAAAGUUAGGAUGCAAAUCAUGGAAUUCACUAGUGAAAGACCCAUCUUUCAUCUCUUAGCACAAUACCCUACAGAGGAAGCAAAGCUCCAACACCAGAAUUCUCCUGGUUCCAGAAUCAUAAAAAAAAAACAUCAUCAUCCAACAACCUCCCUAACUUGCCUUCCCUAAACCUCAUCGAAAUCAGCUGCAGGGACACAAGAAUCCUGACCCAAUCAUGUCAAGGAUUGUUCCUCAUCGGAUACUACAACCGCAAUCACAAGAACCUUAAAAUCCCACUAGAGAGAAGAGAGCCUUUCUGCAAUCCAACCGAUUUACAGCACCGUCAAUUAGGCACACGUUGUACGGGUUUGGAUACGACUCCGAGACUAAUGAUUACAAAGUCGUGAUCGUGAGGUUGUUUUAUCUUGCUCCGGGUGAAGUUGAGGUCAGAGCAGAGCUGUAUUCAGCAGCAAUUCAUGGCGAGAGGUACACCUCGGUUACACAACUGCAAACCUGUUGCUAAGUGAGUUUGCUCGUCCAACGAUUCUCGAACCUCAAUACUCGCUAUACUGCGUGGGGUCAUCCCAUUGGUUCCUGAGCGAGACCCGUUGCAUCAUGUCGUUUGAUUUUCAACGCGAGAUCUUCAAAGUCGACACUCGUCAAUUUAAUGAACCACGUAAUAAAUACCAUAUCCGGCCUAAGAAUGACGAAUUGACGAUGAUGGUUCAAUCAACAUGCUCAUGUGUGAUGAAUUCAACAAGAAGUGUCGUAUGUUGGAGGGAGAUGUGGGGAGUAGUACCGUCUGACGAAGAACAAGGGUGGUCGUGGGAGAAUGUCAAACGGAUGGAAUCGGAACCAUUCGACGAGAGAGAAUAUUGUUGGACUACGCAGUUCCGCGGGGAUGAUCGAAUCUUGUUCGGAAGGCACAAAAAUGAUUAGGUGCUUCAUGACUUCUCUAACGAUCAUACAACAGUGAUGAGAGGUGGUAGUAUGGCUGAUGAUGUAUUUAUCUACCGAGAGAGGUUACUACAUUUAUUGGUCAGCGCUAGUUUUUACUUUUCUUUCUAUAUAUUUCGCAUCGUAAAACUUUUUAACAUUCGGGCCUAGCUGCUGUAUUGAAGUUGUCAAGUACAACUAAGUAAUUGGAAAUUUGUGGCCCGUGGCGGGUUCAGGUUUUCUCUGAAGCUUCGGUCUAGUAUAUAUUCUUAUUUCGAAGGUUGAUAUUAUAUAAUUUUCUUUAUAUAUUUUGGUUGGUUGUUAUUUUUUCUAUAUAUUACCAAGUGUAUUUGAAUUUUUAUACAAUUCGGCACAGUGCAUUGAACCAUCUUGAAUCUCCCGCUAUUUGUGGCUAGGUAAUAUUUUUUUAGAUUUGAGGGGAUAUUCUGAUUCCCGAGUCUGAAGGAAAGGGCUUAGGGGUGGAAUCGGGUUGGGUUCUGACCAAUAUUAGCCUGGCCCGGCCUGUCCGGUCAACCGAGUUUCGGGUAACUUGAAAGCCGAACUAUGUAGAAUCUGGUUGAGCUCUGGUCUUCAUAAUAUAGAGAUUUGGAGUUUUUUGAGUUUUGGGGUAAAGUUGGGUUCGACCCGGACUCGAACAAAAAAAAACAUAUAAGAACCAUUAGACUACCGUUACAGAGUUACUACCUUGUAUGAUACUUAUUAGCAACUUAUAGAUAGUCAUUGGCAACUUAGACGUAGUUAAUUGCCAUAUUAAAAGUAUGAAAAUCAGACUUGGAAUGAAGAAGUUGUACUUGAAAUAAGAUAAAAAUAAUAUAUUUUUUAAAAUCGUUGAAAUAAAAUCUAUAUCGAUAUCGUUAGAUUGGUCUUUGUAACACAAUUAUUUCUAUAUAAAAAAUAUAUAAAUCAAUUUAAAUUAAAGGAGUUAUAUUAAUAUUUUAAAAAAUAAGAAAAUAUAUAUACCAAAUACCAAAACCACCACUGAAAAAAAAAAAAACCAAAUACCAAAACCACCCCUGAAAUAUAUGGGCCUUUAAAUUCAAAAGGGGUGAAAAGCUGAUCAUCUAACGGUUUUUAAUGAUUCAGAAUUCAUCACGGUGCACAGUACGCAUUCUCAUAUACCCAGUCCUCUUCGAACCAGGAAAAGCCAAGUCUUAGCUUGGUGAGGAAAUCCUAGUCCCGCGAGGAAAAGGGAAACACCUAACCGUAUAAAAUAAGAAGUCUGGAUCGGCUAAUUAGUUUUUAUCAGUAACAUCAGCCGAGAAAGCUAAACAAAUUAAGGGGAUCGAAUUGUUAGGAAAUUAUUUUUUAAUUAAGUGGACUUUAUAUUCACAUUCUAUUAUAUUAUAUAAAUGAUUAUGACAUAAAGCCCAUGACUACUCAAAUCUAAUUAUGGACUAGAUGAGAAGAUAUCACAUACAUAUCAUAUAUGAGUUUUGUGGGAGCCCAUAAUGAAGUGUAUAUAAGGAGCUUGAAGUUGUGGUCCUCAAUACAUCAAGACAAAAACAAUACACAUAUUCUCUCUAUUUAGGGUUUGUGAGGCUUCCCGUGAGUGGACCUAAGGGUGCUUGGUUGAGGAAGGCUGCAUAACCUUUCGAUUUAUGCUCGUAGCAAUAUUGUUCGGUUAUCGAUCGUCAAUAAUGUCCGCAUCUAGUUUCAGACGAUCAUCAUAAAACCAGGUAUCUCUUAUAUCUAUUUAUACCUUUGAUAAUCUUAUAAGGUGAUGUUUUAGAAAAUUGUUUAUGCAAUUAUAUUUGUUGUUUUAACACGAAGAGCAUGCCUACCAAAAGAAUAAGACACAACGAUGUGAUGAAGCUGCCGCCAUUGCCGGAAGAAAUCCAGACUGAGAUUCUAUUGAGAUCGGAUGUAAAAUCUCUGAUGCAGUUAAAGGUGGUAUGCAAAUCAUGGAAUUCCCUAGUCAAAGACCCAUCUUUCAUCUCCCAGCACAAAACCCUACAGACUAAAGAAAGCUCCACCAGAAUUCUCAUGGUGCCAAGGUCAGGAGAAUCAUCAUCAUUCAACCUCCCAAACUUACCCUUGGUAAACAUAAUGGACAUCAACACUAAUGAACACGAGGGCAAGUUAACCGCAAGAAUCCUGACCCAUUCAUGUGAAGGAUUGUUCCUGGUCGGAUAUUACAACCGCGACAACGUUGAAAUCCCAGAGUAUCUCGCCAUAGUUAACCCUGCCACUAGAGAGAAGAGGCUGCUGCGGAAAUCCAAUCGAUUUACUGGACGGUCAAUUAGUGACGCGUUUUACGGGUUUGGAUACGAUUCGGAGACUAAAGAUUACAAAGUCGUGAGAAUGUUUCAUCUUAUUGCUGAUAUAGGUGAAAUUGAGGGCGGAGCAGAGGUGUACUCGAUCAGCAGCGAUUCAUGGAGACAAGUACACGAUAUGGAUGCCCGAACUACAAGCCUGCUACGAUGUUCGAUUGAUCAAUACUCUGUAUACGCAGCGGGGUCAUCCCAUUGGUUAAUGUCAUCGUAUUGGUUCAGGGGCGGGACCCGUGGCAUCGUGUCAUUCGAUUUUCGUUGCGGAAUCUUCAUAUACGCUCCUCUGCCUCUUCGACUCGGGCGACACUUUAACUACGGUAUCCUUCCGAUGAACGACGACGAUGAUGGUUCGAUCACCCUACUCAUGUAUAGUGAAUUCAGUCGCGGCGACGAAAGAAGAAGCACGUGCCGCAGUUUGGAGAGGGUGAAAAUAGUACCAUCUGAUCAAGAUGAAGGGAAAGGGUGGUCAUGGAAGAACAUGAAAAGGAUGGAAUUGGAAACGGUAAACGAUGGACAUCCUGGUUGGAGUUCGCGGUUUGGCGGGGAUGAUCGUAUCUUGUUCGAGAGGCGUCCGAAUUGUUAUUGGGUGCUUCAUGACGUCUACCCUACAAUACCGAUGAUGAGAGUUGAUGAUAUAUUUAUCUACCGGGAAAGACUCACUACGUUUGUUCCUCAUCGGACACUACAACCACAACCAACUUCACUACAACGACAGCGCUGAAAUCGAAAUCCCAAUGCAACUCAUCAUAGAGAAUCCGGCUACUAACGAAAACAUUUUGACUUUUGCGGUGGCCUCAUCGGUCUCAAACUCUAAAAUUUUGUUUACUGGCAGCAUCAUUAAAUAUGGUGUUCGUCAAUAAAUAUCAUCUUGAAGAGCCAUAGCCAGCUAGGGUUACAAUACCCAACCAUUUCCCGCCAAUCUCGCUUUGCUGAGUUGGUCUGGUAUGGUUUCACUUUCACAUAUGUUGGUUAUGUUGGUUAGGCGUAAUAUGAACUACUAUAUGUCUAUAAUAUGAACGAUUAUGGAAGAAGAGCCGAACAAGAAAUUACAACAAUAUUGAAACCAUAGGAAAAUGUUAUUGUUGUUAUACGGAAAGGUGUUCGGAGAGCUGAUUGAAUGUAUCGAUCUGUGGGUUUUGUUAUUAUUUGUACAUGUUGAAAUGUAUGGUAAAACAAUUUGGUUUCCAACAGAAAUGUGUAUGGUCAAAGUUAACAAGACGCAAUUCAUAUAACGAUGGCUCAUCAUGCAGAAAGUAAUCCAAUUUGAAAAUUUUCAACACUAAUAUAACACUAAGUAAAAUUGGGUUUUAACUUCAUCUAACCAUUAUUGACAUGGGUUAUCAUAGUGAAACUUGAUUUUUUGACCAUUUCCAACAUGUCAAAUUUAGCCGAUUUGAAAAUUUUCAACACUAGCAUAACACUAAGUAAAAUUGGGUUUUAACUUUAUUUAACCAUUAUUGACAUAGGUUAUCAUAGUGAAACUUGAUUUUUUAAUCAUUUCCAACAUGUUAAAUUUAGUUGAUUUGAAAAUUUUGAAAUUUUAUUGUGGAAAUGGUUCAAAUUUCCAUUGUAUAGCACAAAGAAAUUGACUAAUUUUGACAUAAAAAUUGAAAAUUUUCAAAUUAGCUAAUAUUUGACAUGCAUGUUGAAUGACUAAAAAAUAAGGUUUCACCAAUUUGAAGGAAAGGUGUUCUCCGACCCUCUUCUAAAACAAUCAUUCUUCAUUUACCCAAUACGACUGAGAUUCAGAUGGUCCACCUAGCUGAUCCUCUUUGGUCCAUAUGCUUACGGACACCUCUGAUAGUUCUUUGUUUCUCACACUCUCUAGUAUUCACCUUGACCUCCUCUUAAACACAAUACUCUUUCUUACUGACUCUCUAUAUACCCCUUGCGAGGUUCCGUCGAAGAAGACUCUGAGGUGCUUUGGGCCAUUAGUCAACAUAACCAGCUAGGUCCUCCAAAUCUAAACCACUUAGUUGGGCCACCAAUCCUAAAGGGUGUGGGAGCAUCCACAUCCCUAACUUUUCAGAAAUUGCUAAGUGACGUGGAGGGUGAUGUGAUAUCAAUUAAACAAUUGCUAAGGAUGUAAGAAUACUUGCUAAUUUAGCAAUCUUACUUAUUUAACAAAUUAAUUAGCAAUACCACCUAGACUGACAUUUAUACAUGAUUAAUUAAUUAAUUAAGUUAGAUUGUCUAGUAGAAAUUAGUCUUUAGAAAAGAAUUAAUAACUUAAUAUAUUAUAAUCUCUUCACUAGAAAUUAGUGAAGCAUGAUAGGGAGGAAAGUGAUUAAAAAUUACAAAUAAAAAUUAUUACUAACCUUGCUUAUGUGAUCAUAAAGUUCAUAUUAACAAAUUACUAAAUGAAUUUUGGGAAGAAGAUGAUCUUAUAUUACUGGCUAAAAUGGCUAAAGGGUUAGCGACGAAUGCAAGAGUCAUAAAGACCAUAGCUAAAAUGGUUUUUCAUAUCAGUUAAACUUAGGUAAAAAUCCAAUCAAAGAUCAAUAUGAUGACAAUGUACAGAGUCAUGUCGAACCUUAAAACCUUUUGACCAUGCAUCAAUCUAGUAUAUAUGUACGUACCAUCCAAAGGAACCUAAUUUCCCAACUAGAAUUGAUUGGCUUGAUAUAUAUGAACCAACGGUUCAAACCGCUAAAACCGUUUAAACUUUCCAAAGCGAUUUCUUACAGUUUUUUUAUGCCUAUUGCAAAAGUGUGACGACAAUUCAUUGUAUGAACAACGAAUACGAACCAUUAGUUGAACAAUUACCGAUGUGGACACUACUCGCUGAUCAGUAAUGAAAGGACAAAGGUCGUUAAGUUGGUUGUUGAGGUAGUUGGCCUUUACGGUUUGAGUUUUAAAUUAAAGAGGAGACAAUUCCCAGUGAUUCGCCUUUUAAAACACAAGCUUUUUGUUUGAUAAUAAAAGUUGGUAGAUACUAAUAUAAUUAAGUACGAUAUUCUUGGCGUGAUGUUUAGGAUAAAUUGCAUUAUGUCAUCCCUUUUUUGCCUUUUGUUCUACUACUGGGUAUUGAUAAAUGCUUGUCUUAAUUCCAUUUAUUUAUUGUUGUAGCGUGAGGCAGAAGUUGUGGUACGGUUGAUGAUGAAGUUUGCGUAAAGCUGAAACAAUGGCAUCCAUGCAGAGAACUUAACUCAUGCAUAUAGUAUGCUUCGUUCUCCAUAGUCCUAAAUGGCAGUCCAUCGGCGAUGUUUUUGCCAUCUAGGGGUCUGCGGCAAGGGAUCCCUUAUCCCCGUUACUCUUUUCUAUCUGUACUGAGGGUUUAAUCGCGCUGAUUACAAACGCUGUCGAUUCAAAUCAACAGGAUCAAAUUGAAUCGGCAUUGCCCAGUAUUCUCUCAUUUAUUAUUUGCAGACGACACCUAUUUGUUUUUACAGGCAUCGCCACCUGAGUGUGAUUUCUUGAUGCAUCUGCUCUCUCAAUAUGAGAUAGCAAGUGGACAGAAAUCCAAUCUACCAAAAUCGGCCAUCUUUUUCAGCUCGAAUACUCCGGCUGCAUUGCGGACUUCAAUUGGGCAGCAACUUAGUGUUGCGAAAAUUGGACUGUGUGACAAAUACUUGGGUUUGCCGACUCAUAUUCAACGCUCAAAAGCUCUUACAUUUCGAUAUAGUGAGGAUCGUGUUGCCGAGAAACUACGAGGAUGGAAGUGUUGGUCCCGGAUAAUUGAUGUGCAACAAAAAUAUGUACCACCAAUAUUAAAGCACCACAAAAUUAGUUGGAUCUCUAACCAACUAAUUGAAUUCCCACCAAUAUUAACCCCCACCUCCAAUUUAGUGCACAUGGAAAUUAGUUGGGGAUACAACUAAUGGAAUGCCACAACCAAUUGCUUUCAAUUGGUCUCCCUACAUUUCUAGUAUAAAAGGGAAGCUAGUGCAUCCCAUUUCAAUCAUCCCUCUCUUCUUCCUUUCUCACUUCUCUAAGUGUUGUAGUGUAGCAAUUUUCACUUGUUUAAUAAUUGAGAUAAGUUGUCUCAAUUGGGUAGAUAGGUGAGCGGUAGAAAGUCCCGGUAAAUGUUUUACCGUGGUAGGAAUACUUUCUUGUGAGCGAUAAAAUAGUGAGUAGUUGUUUCGGGGUUGGGAAACACUUGAGAGACACUAUUUUGGAUCGGCUCGGAUCACCUUGUAGCUACCUUGUUAUAGUGAAGAAGUGCUCGUAGCUGUCGCUGCUGCCGUAGAUGUACUCUCCGCAUUGGAGGGGAACUACGUAAAUCCCGGUGUUAUUUACUUACUGUUUUGUGCUUGGCAAUUUCGAGAAUAUUCGUUGUAUAUUGCAUUAUUAAUAUUACCACAGUAAAUUGGUCUAAGGAGGUUGGCUUAAUUAUCGUCAUUAUGGUAUUGCGGUGGUAAUCACCCAUCCAUAGUGAUUUUAAGUGUGGCGGACUACCGCNNNNNNNNNNNNNNNNNNNNNNNNNNNNNNNNNNNNNNNNNNNNNNNNNNNNNNNNNNNNNNNNNNNNNNNNNNNNNNNNNNNNNNNNNNNNNNNNNNNNNNNNNNNNNNNNNNNNNNNNNNNNNNNNNNNNNNNNNNNNNNNNNNNNNUUGAUUUUGGCAGAAUCAUGGGAAACCUUGAAGAUUGCAAUCACGAGCUCUGCCAUAGAUGGUGUUGUCACCAUGGAGGAUGUCAAGAGCGGAAUUCUCAACGAGGAGAUGAGAAGAAGAUCUCAAGGUGUCUCUUCCUCAUCAUCACAGUCAGACGUUCUAGCUGUGGAUGGGAGAGGAAGGAGUGAGUCGAGAGGCUCAAAGAAGCGAGGGAAGAGCCGAGGGAAGUCCAACAAGUAUGCAAACAUCACUUGUCACAACUGCAAACAGAAGGGACACAUCCGGAGGUUUUGCCCACAACUUAGGCAAAACAGAGGUGCUGACAGUGACAAUGCUAAUGUUGUUGAGGAGCUCAUGCUUGUCUAUGAUGAAGAUUUUGUCAACCUGACAACCCAGGAGACCACUUGGGUGGUUGACAGCGGUGCCACCAUCCAUGUAUCGUCAAGGCGUGAAUUUUUCUCAUCUUACUCACCGGGCAACUACGGUGUGGUAAGGAUGGGAAAUGGAAACCUCUCCAAGGUCGUUGGAAAAGGAGAUGUCUUCCUGGAGACAAUGGAAGGUGCGAAGUUGGUGCUGCGAGAUGUUAGACAUGUCCCGGACAUGCGUCUAAAUCUGAUUUCUGUGGACAAGCUGGACGGGGAAGGUUAUUGUCAUACCUUCAAAAACGGUCAAUGGAAACUCACCAAAGGCGCAUUGGUGGUGGCAAGAGGCGAGAAGCAGUCUAAACUGUACGUGACAGAAGCCAAGAUCUCCCUAGAAGUUGCAAACUCAACGGAGAUUGUCGACGACGUCGCGUUGUGGCACAAACGCCUUGGCCACAUGAGCGAGAAGUCCAUGGUAAAGCUGGCAAAGAAGAAGGUUAUACCUGGACUGGAUCAUGUCCACCUGGAGAGAUGCGUCGACUGUUUGGCAGGAAAGCAAAAUCGAGUUGCUUUCAGAAGUUCUCCACCUUCUAGAGCGAAGAACGUGCUAGAUUUGGUUCACUCAGAUCUUUGUGAAGCGGAUUCCAAAUCCCUUGGUGGCGCACGUUACUUUGCUACGUUUAUUGAUGAUCACUCGCGGAAGACAUGGGUAUAUGUUCUGAAGACGAAAGAUCAGGUGCUAAACGUUUUCAAACGUUUUGUUGCAUUGGUGGAGAGGGAGACUGGCCAGAAGCUGAAGUGUCUACGUACAGACAAUGGUGGAGAGUACAUUGGGCCAUUCGAUGCCUACUGUAAAGAGAAGGGAAUCCGACAUCAGUUUACACCUCCUAAGACUCCGCAACUGAAUGGCGUGGCGGAGCGGAUGAACAAAACCUUGAUGGAGAGAGUCAGGUGCUUACUCUCCCACUCGAAGUUACCGCACUCUUUUUGGGGAGAAGCACUACUUGCCGUAGUGCAUGUUUGGAACCUUUCACCUAGCGUUCCAUUAGAUUUUGAAGCCCCCGAGAAGAUUUGGUCGGGAAGAGAUGUCUCGUACAAGCAUCUUCGAGUGUUUGGUUGCAAGGCCUUUGUUCACAUUCCGAGGGAUGAGAGGUCGAAACUGGAUUCCAAGACACGACCGUGUGUUUUUAUUGGAUAUGGUCAAGAUGAAUUUGGCUACAGAUUCUUUGACCCUAUCCAGAAGAAGCUCAUUAGGAGUCGUGAUGCUGUGUUCAUGGAGAAUGAGACCAUCGAAGACAUUCAGAAGGUUGGGAGAGAUGCUCCUAACACUGAUGCUAGCACAAUGCCCGAGAAGUUAGAGCCUCCAACACCUGCUGUUGGAGAAAUUCAUCCAGAGGUAGCUGAACCUGAAGCCCCCCUUGAUGUUCAGCCUGAUGAUCCUAAUGAUGAUGAUGGUUCUCAUUAUCAACCGCCAGCCGCCGAAGGUUCUCCGCCCCGAACGAGAUCUGGAAGAGUCGUGCAACCCUCUACCAGAUAUUCAUCAAAUGAAUAUGUCUUAUUCACUGAUGGGGGAGAACCAGAUAGCUUCGAGGAAGCUAUGAAGGAUGGACACAAGCAUAAAUGGAUGGAAGCAAUGGAGGACGAGAUGAAGUCCCUUUACGACAACAACACAUUUGAGCUUGUGAAGUUGCCGAAGGGGAAGAGAGCUUUGAAGAACAAGUGGGUGUUCAAAAUCAAGCAUGAAGAACACAAUAGUAAACCACGGUUCAAAGCUCGGCUCGUUGUCAAAGGCUUCAGUCAAAGGAAGGGCAUCGACUUUGAUGAGAUAUUUUCACCGGUGGUGAAAUUGACAUCCAUUCGUACAGUGCUGGGGUUAGCGUCAAGUUUCAACCUGGAAGUUGAGCAGAUGGACGUGAAGACUGCCUUCCUCCAUGGCGAUUUGGAGGAAGAUAUCUAUAUGGAGCAACCGGAAGGCUUCAAGAAGAAGGGAAAAGAGGAUUUCGUGUGCAAACUUAUCAAAAGUUUGUACGGCUUGAAGCAGGCACCACGACAAUGGUACAAGAAGUUCGAGUCUGUUAUGGGGGAGCAAGGGUACAAGAAGACUACUUCAGACCAUUGCGUGUUCAUGAAGAUGUUUGGUGAUGAUGAUUUCAUCAUCUUGUUGCUCUAUGUUGACGACAUGCUAAUUGUUGGCCGGAAUGUUUCCAGAAUCAACAACUUGAAGAAGGAGUUGAGCAAGUCUUUUGCUAUGAAAGACUUGGGGCCCGCGAAGCAGAUUCUUGGCUUGAAGAUUGCACGAGAUAGAGUUGCCAAGAAGAUCUGGUUGUCGCAGGAGAAGUACAUUGAGAAAGUACUCCAACAAUUCAGCAUGAAUGGUGCAAAAGCGGUUAGUUGUCCUCUUGCUAAUCACUUUCAACUUAGCACCAAACAGUGCCCGUCUACUGAUGCAGAGAAGACGGAGAUGAAAAGUAUUCCAUAUGCUUCAGCGGUGGGGAAGUUUGAUGUACGCUAUGGUGUGUACACGGCCGGAUAUUGCUCACGCAGUCGGAGUUGUCAGUCGGUUUCUUUCAAAUCCUGGAAAGGAACACUGGGCAGCUGUGAAGUGGAUUCUGAGAUACCUUCGAGGUACCUCCAAAUUUUGCCUUUGUUUUGGAGAUUCUAAUCCUGUACUUGUCGGCUACACAGAUGCGGACAUGGCAGGUGACGUUGAUACACGGAGGUCCACUUCUGGAUACCUGAUUACAUUUUCAGGGGGAGCUGUUUCUUGGCAGUCAAGGCUACAAAAGUGUGUAGCUUUUUCCACUAUUGAAGCUGAGUUCAUUGCCGCAACGGAAGCUAGCAAGGAGCUGUUGUGGAUGAAGAAGUUCUUGAGUGAACUUGGGUUCCAACAGGAACGACCGCAGUUGUUCUGUGACAGUCAGAGCGCCAUACACCUUGCGAAGAAUUCGACGUUUCAUUCUAGGUCCAAACAUAUCGAUGUUCGAUAUCAUUGGAUUCGAGAUGUGGUGGAGUCGAAGCAACUACAACUCGAGAAGAUCCAUACUGAUGAGAAUGGAUCUGACAUGUGCACGAAGAGUCUUCUAAGAGAGAAGUUUGAGUAUUGUCGAUCAGCAGCAGGGAUGACCGAGAGUCUUAAUUAGCCGGGAGGGGGAGAAUUGUUGGUCCCGGAUAAUUGAUGUGCAACAAAAAUAUGUACCACCAAUAUUAAAGCACCACAAAAUUAGUUGGAUCUCUAACCAACUAAUUGAAUUCCCACCAAUAUUAACCCCCACCUCCAAUUUAGUGCACAUGGAAAUUAGUUGGGGAUUCAACUAAUUGGAUGCCACAACCAAUUGCUUUCAAUUGGUCUCCCUACAUUUCUAGUAUAAAAGGGAAGCUAGUGCAUCCCAUUUCAAUCAUCCCUCUCUUCUUCCUUUCUCACUUCUCUAAGUGUUGUAGUGUAGCAAUUUUCACUUGUUUAAUAAUUGAGAUAAGUUAUCUCAAUUGGGUAGAUAGGUGAGCGGUAGAAAGUCCCGGUAAAUGUUUUACCGUGGUAGGAAUACUUUCUUGUGAGCGAUAAAAUAGUGAGUAGUUGUUUCGGGGUUGGGAAACACUUGAGAGACACUAUUUUUGGAUCGACUCGGGUCACCUUGUAGCUACCUUGUUAUAGUGAAGAAGUGCUCGUAGCUGUCGUUGCUGCCGUAGAUGUACUCUCCGCAUUGGAGGGGAACUACGUAAAUCCCGGUGUUAUUUACUUACUGUUUUGUGCUUGGCAAUUUCGAGAAUAUUCGUUGUAUAUUGCAUUAUUAAUAUUACCACAGUAAAUUGGUCUAAGGAGGUUGGCUUAAUUAUCGUCAUUAUGGUAUUGCGGUGGUAAUCACCCAUCCAUAGUGAUUUUAAGUGUGGCGGACUACCGCCACUUCCAACUUACCUGGGAAAUAUUUACGGUGUGUGGUUUAUUAGUGCAAUAUAUUUACUCUAUUCUCGUCCGCUGCGCCCCAACAGUGGUAUCAGAGCACGGUUCAUUAUGGAGGCAACGCCAAGCAAGAUGGUUAGUUUGAACGGUACAAACUUUCAUAUUUGGAGAAGCAAGAUGAAGGAUCUCCUAUUGAUGAAAGAUUUGGAUCAACCGUUGUCAUCGUCAACUAAGCCAGCCGCUAAGAGUGACGGGGAUUGGAAGCGCGAGCACGAGAAGGCGUGUAGUUACAUUCGACACCAUGUCGAUGAUAACGUACGCAACCACAUCGCUGGAGAGACAGAUGCUUUGAAGCUUUGGAAAAAGCUGGAGGGGCUUUAUGCUUCAAAGACCGGCAACAACAAACUCUUUUAUCUCACGAAGAUGGUGCAGAUGAGAUACAAAGAGGGCACUUCCGUUGCCGAUCACUUGAACGACGUUCAAGGGAUCAUUGACCAGUUGUCGGGAAUGAACUUAAAACUCGAAGAUGAGGUGACGGCUCUUUUGAUUCUGGCAUCCCUACCAGAAUCAUGGGAAACCUUGAAGAUUGCAAUCACGAGCUCUGCCAUAGAUGGUGUUGUCACCAUGGAGGAUGUCAAGAGCGGAAUUCUCAACGAGGAGAUGAGAAGAAGAUCUCAAGGUGUCUCUUCCUCAUCAUCACAGUCAGACGUUCUAGCUGUGGAUGGGAGAGGAAGGAGUGAGUCGAGAGGCUCAAAGAAGCGAGGGAAGAGCCGAGGGAAGUCCAACAAGUAUGCAAACAUCACUUGUCACAACUGCAAACAGAAGGGACACAUCCGGAGGUUUUGCCCACAACUUAGGCAAAACAGAGGUGCUGACAGUGACAAUGCUAAUGUUGUUGAGGAGCUCAUGCUUGUCUAUGAUGAAGAUUUUGUCAACCUGACAACCCAGGAGACCACUUGGGUGGUUGACAGCGGUGCCACCAUCCAUGUAUCGUCAAGGCGUGAAUUUUUCUCAUCUUACUCACCGGGCAACUACGGUGUGGUAAGGAUGGGAAAUGGAAACCUCUCCAAAGUCGUUGGCAAAGGAGAUGUCUGUCUGGAGACAAUGGAAGGUGCGAAGUUGGUGCUGCGAGAUGUUAGACAUGUCCCAGACAUGCGUCUAAAUCUGAUUUCUGUGGACAAGCUGGACGGGGAAGGUUAUUGUCAUACCUUCAAAAACGGUCAAUGGAAACUCACCAAAGGCGCAUUGGUGGUGGCAAGAGGCAAGAAGCAGUCUAAACUGUACGUGACAGAAGCCAAGAUCUCCCUAGAAGUUGCAAACUCAACGGAGAUUGUCGACGACGUCGCGUUGUGGCACAAACGCCUUGGCCACAUGAGCGAGAAGUCCAUGGUAAAGCUGGCAAAGAAGAAGGCUAUACCUGGACUGGAUCAUGUCCACCUGGAGAGAUGCGUCGACUGUUUGGCAGGAAAGCAAAAUCGAGUUGCUUUCAGAAGUUCUCCACCUUCUAGAGCGAAGAACGUCCUAGAUCUGGUUCACUCAGAUCUUUGUGAAGCGGAUUCCAAAUCCCUUGGUGGCGCAUGUUACUUUGCUACGUUUAUUGAUGAUCACUCGCGGAAGACAUGGGUAUAUGUUCUGAAGACGAAAGAUGCGGAGAUUCCAAUGUCAAGCCAGUCUGCAGUUGUGCAACAAACGACCUUAGUCCGAUAGAUCCCAUCAUCACCAGAUAAACUUUAUUAUGUCGAUGCAGCGGUGCGGAAUACAGUUUCGGGGCAACCAGGAUAUGGGGUUUAGGUGUGGUGUGCUACAGCAGGUACGGUGAUUUGGUAUCAAUCAAGGACGAGUCAUGCCACAAUUUACAGACCCCUUGGUGUUGGAGACUCUGGCAAUUCGAGUGGCUCUUGUCCUCGCUUCGUAGUCUGAUGAACGAAUUUUACCCCGCCAAUCAAAUACCUACUAGAUUGCUCUAAUGGGAUCGUUAAUUUCCCUAGGUCUUUCUACUUCUAUUACUCAAAUCGAUUAACUUACUAGACCAAGUAACAGUUUGUGAAUGUUUUUAGUAACCAAUUAUAUUUUAGAAAUGCAAAUCAAAGAAAAAUAAAUGCAAGAGAUUGAGUUUCAAAUAUGGAAUGAAAGGUUGUUCGAGUUCGAAUCCACUAAAACUAGUAAUGCAUGGAUGAACGACAAGUUAUCUCAAUUAUUUAGGUUAUAAAGGUUUGGAAAUUUCCUAUGGUAGUUUUAGAUUAUUCUCGCGCGAUCUAUUUCGCUUAACCGUAGACUGCUCUCUUGAGCUAAUCUACACCUAAACAAAACGCACUAAAGGUGUUCGAUGAAAUGCCACAACGAUAAACAGUGCAAAAAGUCUAAACGAUUCGUUCCUCUCUCAAGCUAACGAGUAAUCUAGAUUUCUUCCUAAGCGACCUAUUAAUCUAUGUUCCUUUCGGAUCCACAAAUCAAUGUCAAAGAUUCAAUCAAGACGGCCAGACGAAAUUGAAUCUUAAUUUAGGUUUUAGGAAGAACGCAUCAUAAGUAUGAAUAACCUCGAUACCAAAUCAAGGGGUUAAAGCCUCAUCAUUCAUACAAAAGCUUGACUAAACCUUCAUCUUAUCCGAACAACACGAAAGGUUUAGCUACUCAUGAUUCGGGAAACAAGAAGGGAAGAAGAAAGGAGAAUAACCCGAAAAGAAAACAUGUUUCAUCGAGAAAUCUCCGUCCUGUCGCCGAUCUUUGCUUCUUCUCCAAUCGUUGAUGUUCUCCUACUUUAAUCAAUCUCUAGAACUCUUUCUCUCCCUCUGAACUCGAAAAUAUGUCUGAAAUAAUAGAUAUAUCGUCCAAAGGGCUGCUCGAGCUAUUUAUAUUGUUCCUUCCAAAUCAGAGAAGGAAAAGGACUUGAAAAACCCCGUCUGGGGUGGAACACGUCGUGCUCCCGGCCGUGUUCCGCCCUGUAAACUUCUCGGGCAAUUCCAGAGGAAGAGACACGCCUUGUUCCUCCCCAGCCUCUUCAGAUCUUUGCCCCGAAUAAUUCAAAUCGUCCGUUUUUGCUCCCGUUUAUCCCCAAACGUCGUAUAUUGUCUGAAAAUGCAUCAAAACAUCUCAAACAAUGUAAUACGGCCCCGAGGGGUAGGAGAACUAAACAUGUGUUAAAAUUAUCAGUUUGAAUACAUUUCGACACAUAAAAAUAUAGUUUAUAACGAGAAAAGGUGUGUCGAAACUACAACACAUCACAGUCGACUAAUGUUUCAGCAAUUAUUCACACAGACUCUGCGGAAAGCGCCCUUCUCUUAUGCUCGGCAAUGCCGGAUAUUCGGUUGGGAUUACUUUUGCAAAACUGCAGCGGUUUCUUGCUGCUCAUCCUCUUGUUUUUAUUAAGCACGUUCGUCGUCAGGAUAGUAGCGCAGCCCAUUCUGUGGCACGUGAGGCUCUUACUUAUCCUGUUUCGGCAAAACGACAGCUAGAUUUAUGUUAUUGUUUGUAACUUUUAACUCUUGAAUAUCUAUGUUAAGAUGCCUUCGGAAAAAAAGUGGAUUGGGUUUAAAGUUCUCUAUCACAUAUUCAUUCUUGAGUUUAUUUUUAAUUGAAAAUUUAUUCCUCAGUUUCAAUCAACUUUGGAUCCAAGCCCAUUUUCAUUUUUUCGAAAUUGCACCUGCUUAUAUUAUUAAUGAUUUAACUCGAGAUAAAUGUCGUGCAAUAUAAAUUCUAAAUUAUUAGAAGGCGCCUCCUCUAAAAAAAUAAAUGCAAGAUCUUAAAAGCGACAUGCAAACUCGUGAUCAGAAUCCCAGUCUUUAAUUCUUUUGACCCAACAAACUAUGAAAAGAGGUAUACUACUAAAGAUUCUUCGACACACUGUUACUACGGAACCAAAUUAUCUCAUUUUCAUUUAAUUUACAACAAUAUAUAUAAUGAUUUACAUAUUCACUUUCAGACUCUAGAUUCUUAUUCAUAAAAAAAUUAAUAACAUGUUAUUAUGUAUAAAACUUUUUUGCAAAUGGGAUAGUUCAGUUGAUUAUGUAUUAUAUAUUGUUGUCAGGUUUCGUCACAAUUGUUGGUGAGGUGCGGUUCACAUCAUGAAUCAAAUUCUGAUAUUUUCACACUCUAUGAUUCGAGUUGACGGCAAUAGUAUUCUUUCGCAACGUUGGUAUAAAUGCUCGUUUUGUUGUAAUAUCAGUCUCACUUCAAAAUAGACUUCCGUACAUAAUUUCCGUUUCAGUCCAUCGAUUAUCCGAACCUCGACCCUUCUUCAAACAAUGCAAGAGAUUUGAACUCUUAGAGUACUAUCCCCCAAGGAAAUCUUUUUCCCUCAUCUAUUCGGCCGAAAGGAGGUUCUAGCUAUUGUAUCUUGUGACGCCCAUCCAAUAGAUUUGAUUCCUACCUCACAAAAAGAAGAGAAGAAAUUAUUUAGAGGAGAGGGCAGAAGAAGAAGAAGAGAUUCCUUGUCAAGUUGUUAUCCCUUUGGUGUCCCUUUCCAUCAACUGUCAACCGUUUCUUAUUAGGACAUUCAAAAAAUCUUAAGUUUGUGUGUUGGGGAUUUAUGAUUUAUCAUGUUGGUAGCUUUCAGUCAAUGUAAUACUGCCACAUUCCCUCCAACUCUUCCUCCUUUGUUGCUUGCUAAGCUACAUAUUUCUCUAUGGUCCAGAUAGCUCCCCGUCGGUCCAAAUCCUCUAUUCAAUGUGUUCUUUUGGACCAUCUACCAAGUAGUUGUGUCCCUUUAAUGGUUUCGAUAUAUAGUAAAUGCAUGCAAGUCCAAUAUGAAAUCAAACCAAUCUACACUUGGAACUCUUUGUCAAUAGCAACUAUUCUACGGUGAGCUGAAAAACACCCAAAAAAAACAAACCCAGUGAGCUCAUGAGCUUACAAAAUUCAAACCCAUCUCAUCUUUCUCAAGGUACAAUUUCAGAACUGUGGCAUUCUGGAUUUGACCUUUCACUUCUGUCCCCAUGACAACAUUAUUAAACUGACACGUUGAAAUAAUUUCAGAAAAGAAAAAGCUAAGAGCAAAACAGAAACUCAUCUCCUCUGUUCUAAAGAACCGACAGGCCAUGAGUAGUAGUCCUGAUGAGAACAGCAGCUUUAUGUGUUUGCAUGUUAUUUUUCCUCUGCUUUUUUUCACUUUACAUGAUAGAUUUUCCAAGCGGCUCAUUGUGCACUAACUUCUCCCUGUAAUUUUACCCACAACUCGAGUUCUUAGGAUUCUGCUGAGAAACAAACAUCUUUAUGAACUCAGUCGGUCUGAGUGAAAAUAUUGUCAACGUUUUCGGAUCCUGGAGGGAGAAGAUCUUGAGAAUACAGAGUGUCUGGUUACUACUUUAUUCAUUCUGUUUUUAAGCUUACAGAGGGUCGUCACAUCCUGAUGUGGUCUACCCCUCCAAUUCAAAAGACUUGACAAAUCAGGUGAUGCAUUCAUGAUUUUUUUUAAUGGAUUUGAAUCGGAAUUUUGUAUGUCGAAUAAAACAUGUACGGAACCGAAUUUAAAUCGAAAUUUUAUAUAUCGAGUAAUCAAUUGACGAAACCAUUUUUAACCCGAUAUUAAAUUAAAAUACGGCAAAAACAUUUAGUUUGGAUUAUUUGGACAAAAUUUUAUUAUGACUUAUCACUCACUAACAAAUAAAUAAGAGAGUAUAACUUCAAACACCACUAACUAAAUCAUGAAAAGUAUUAAAAAAUUACAUAUAUUUAGUACUCGAGGUUAGGAAAUUGACGAGAAUGUUAAAAUUCUCCUGACUCUUUUUACUUCCGACACGGUCCAAUACUGUGCCGAAUCCAAAAGUAAAUCAGAAAUAUAUAUAAUUUUAAUGGUCGGGACGACGGAACUGAAAUUGAGGUGAGAUGAAAUUCACAUCGACUUCCCCCGGUGUACACACAACCCCAAAACUAGGGGAAUCACGAGCUACAAGCCAACCUUCUUCAUAGUAAUGAAAUCAAAUGAUGUAUUUUUCAGUUUCAAUUCUAUUUGAAUGUAAUCCAAUAUGUUGAACCAUCUUAAGUGCAAAUAGGAUAACAUUGAUAGCAUUUUGGGUGUCAAUAUCACAAAUUUGUCAUGUUAGGGGACUAACAAGAUCUUUCCAUGGCAAAUAUUCAACCAUCCUCACAUGGUUUGCUGCCAUACAAAAUCUCUCUAGCUAUCUCCUUUUAUCCAAUUCUCACCCUCUCACAUGGGGAAAGGCUUAGGCUAUUCCCUCCUUUAUUUUCCUUUGGUUUUUUUGCAAUAUGUCAUGAUAUUUUGUAAUAUUAAGGUGGUGUCACAUAACCAUGUGUGGUGUCAUCAUCUUUGCCGUUCAACGAUUGAGGCUAACUCCAGCAGCCACACUGCCAUCACUACUUGCUAUAGCUUUGCCUUUGUCUUACACCACCAUUAAACCCUCCCCCCAUGUGCUAAUGGGUCGAAUAUAUCCUCUUUGUACACGGCUUCAACUAACCACCCUUUGGCCCAUUCCCACAUUCUAGCCUUUUGAUUCAAAUAAUUUGGUUCUCACUCGGACGAUACGAUCACGUAAAAUGACCGUCUAGAUUGUUCUGUUUGUGUCAUUUUGAGUAUCGUAAUUUUCGAAUUAUAAAUAUUUUUUGUUCAGAUUUUAUAUAUUUACAUCGUAACGGAUUAAUUAACUUUCAACAUUAUGACACCUAUAUUACUUAAUUAUCGUGCCAAGUCGAUAGAUUCUUGCACAUGAUUAUGAAUUGUAGGUUCACGAGUGUCUCCCAGAACAUGUCAUAAAUGGGUGGACGAUAAGUGAAUUCAAAAUGAAUUAGAUGUACUGCGUUGAAUUGUAUUGAAAUAUAUCGGUUCUCGUAAAAAAUAUGCUAAUAAAUGGACCUUCUAAAUAUAAAAAAAAUUAUAUAUUAUCAAAAUUCUAAACCUAAUUAGAUAUGGGUGAAAAUAAAUGUUUUUGGGGAGGAGGGAAAUGGAUUGAUGGUGUGGAAAGACAAGUAGACCAAAUGGUGGAAUUGAAUUUGGAAGGUGGAAAUGGGCAAGUGAGGAAUUAAAGCACGAUGAAGGAAGAGGGCAAACAAAUAUAUAUGAAGAUAAGGAUACGGUGUCCAGUGUCGAAUUAAUUAUUGAAACCAAUAACGAACUGACAUUCAAAUUUAUUGUUUGAUUCGGUAAGGCAGAUAGAGAGACAGGAAUUCAAAUUCAGGGCCCCCAAGUUCGCAUUGCAUUGGUAUCAACUACAAACUGCCUCGUUUAUAUUCCAAACGGAUUUGGGGCAUUUAAGGUUGUGCUUCACAUAUCACACUCCCCACUACUCGUUUUCUCUUUGCAUUUACACUUAGAAUUGUACGAUACAAAAAACCCGGUUUAAGACGGUUUUAUGGGUACUCACGAGGCUAUGAAUUCGGUAACCGGUGUAAUGUCCCUUUUGGUAGAAAAAGUAGACACUAGAGCUUAAUCGUUACUAGAGAUCAUCGGGGAAAAGAGACACCCAUACACCCUGACCGAAUAUGAUGAGCAACAUCGCUUGAAAAAAUAAAUAGGAAAUAAUAACCAAAAAGAAGGGAAUAAUUCGCAUAAUGGGCAAGGGCGUCCGCAACGCGAUUGCAUCCUCUAAGAGUGUGGGAGAUACACAUAUCCCAAUCUAUAUGAAACAACCACUUUUCUUCGAGAAUGCAAGUUAUAAAAUGAUGAAAGUCGUCAGGGGGUCGGCCAGGAUUCUUGAAAUAUAUAGCACAUUGAGAAUCGAGUUGGAGAUUGACCUUCAUGUGCCCCGGUCCCAAGCAAGUUGAAGUGUAGUCCAAAAACAGCGCAUCGUACGUAAUUCUGCACAGGUAAUGAUACAAUGUCCUAAAUUUACAACAAAUGCACCCAACACUUUAUCCUUUUUAUUAUUUUAAAUCUUAUAGUCCUAUGUCACACUCAAUUUAUAUCUUAAUUAGACACUUGAUUAUAGAUGAAGAAAAUUUGAAAUGAGAAUCAAACAAGUAAUACAAGGCCAAGAGGAAAAUGACCCAAUAAGGCCAAACACCAAAGGUAGUUUGGGAAGUUGACCAAACCAAACAACCCUAAACAUUCCAAGGAACAACCCAAUACAUAUAUAGCUAGCAACGUUAGUGAUCUAGCCUAGCUACAGUCUGUGGCUAGCUACCUACAAUUUUAACCCAUUAGUCGAAAUUACUAUAUGAUCAUUCUAUUUGGAUUUCGGAAUAUAUACCGGUAGGAGGUAAUUACUAAUUAGGGUUAGGCUGCAGCAUAUAUGACAGUAACUUGUAAUUCCUGGUUGGCUUUAACUACAAGUCACAUGCAUGCCUAGUCGGAGAAAACUUACAGAAAACUGUUUGCCUUCUGUUGGAUUCCAAGUUUGGGAAUGUUUGACUUGAGGAGAAGAGAAUCAUGUGCUGCAGUAAAAUUCUAAAUGAUUGGAAUAUGCCACGUGUCGUGCAUGCCGGGUGGGAUUGUACGUAAUUAAUUAUCACUACCAUGUAUAGGUUUACCACUCACUUACCCAUGCUCAAGUGAAGUGAAUGGCUUCGCUUUCUAACGAAGAAGAAGAAGAAGCAUCCGAUGCGUCCUUCCUUCUCACAGUCCACAAAACACUUAUUUUGUGGAAAUUUGUGUGCGAAACUGUGUCGUACCGCAUGAGUUAAUUCGAUUGAUUUAAUUUGUCCGAAUAUUUGUUAUAAUUUGUGAAAGACGAAGCAAACCUAUUGCGAAACUUGUUGGUUUGAAAACCUCAGUUCAAAUACUUAAUAAGGCUGAUAACUUGGGACGAUGUUACAUACCGGUCUCAAAAUUCGAAAUGUUUAUUUUUUGUAUAUUGGUCUCGUAACUCACAAUUGAGGCCGGCUAUGAUCCGUCUAGCUUGCAAGUCAUUUGACUUCUUUGCAAUAUUUAAAAAGUGCUAUAGCAUCAAGUAAACCAGCAAAAAUUACAUGGUGAAUUAUUUAUUUGACCCGAAAAAGUUAAAAGAAAAGUAAAACGUCUAACUAAAUUUCUAAACGACGCCUUCCAAUGGUAAUAAAGAGAAGGCCAUAAGUUUGGAUACAGAUGGGAAGAUGAGAUUGGCUACAAAGAAAAGCUUUAAUUUGCUCAGUAGGGCAGCUGCUGCUACGAUCCUACGGCCCCGUUUUACUUCUUUGUAAUAAAAAUUAGUUAUGGUGGAGAGCACAUGGGGUGGGGGUAACUGCCCAUCAGAUCACUAGGGUCCUUUUAGUCUUUUACCUUUCUUCCCUUUCAACUUACUUUGUUGCUAACUAGCAUUUCCCCACUCUACCAAACAUCACCCACCUUCAUUCAUUUUUCAUAUACUUUGAGUCUAACAAUUAGGCUUUCGUUUAUGCUUGGCAUGAUAUGUUUUAUUACGGAGAGGAAAUUGGUGGCGUGAGAACAUUUUCAUACUUUGAGAUAGAUCAUGACAUAAAAAAUAAUGUUAAUAGAUCGUAUAUAUUUGGGUAACAAAAUUAAAAGUUGACGACAUUAUGAGAAUUUUUACCUUUAAAUAGUAGCAAUAAAUAAUAAUAUACCAUAGGAUUAUUGUUUUUAUCCUCCGGAAUGCAUGUCGCGUACUUGAGAUAAUACCAUAAUAGUAAAAUACACUGCACACGUAAUACUAUUUUGAAAUUUGUAGGUAGACAAGUGAAGUAAUAAGAACCGAUCUCUAAUUAAACAACGUUGACCAAUCCUGCAAUCCAUCAAUUGUUUUCACAUGUACAUACUUAUUUAAGUUAGGCACCUAACAUUUCCCGCCAGAUUAAGUACAAACAAUCCACCAAUCAGAAACAAAGCUGCUGCAGUAAAAGCUGAUUAAUGCGGCUUACCGUCCAAUUAAGUAUUCAAAAAGAAAUUGUUAAUCACGCCGAGCCGGUGCGGUACAGUUAAAAAAAACCCCACCGAACCACCCCGGCCUAUCAGGACCGGUGAUUACGGAGAUUAAGCCCGUGGGCCCCAUGCUUUCCCUCAAUCCCCCCAUUGGAUGCGCUUUUUUUGUGAAAACUUUCGUUUGAUUUUCCCUCCAAUCACAGCCGCAAAUCAAGCAUUACUGCUCUUUCCUUCUUAUCACGGUAAACACCCGAUCCAUAUCUGUCCCCUGCAAAUGUGAAAUAUCAACGGACGGCCAGGAUUCGACUUGAACAUCUUUGGUCUGACCUAAACUAAAUUUCUUUUUUCUUUUCACAAAGGGGACGGAAAAUAAGUGGGCCGUCCCCUCAUGUUCCUGAACCGUAAUCCAAGCAAAAACGAGAACGACAAGAGCAACUGGACGUGUAAAAAAAAUUUGCCAUCAAUUUCACUUUCUGAGCUAUGCGCGUUGAUCACACGUCCCAUUUGUUGCGUUUCCCAGAAAGCGUAGCUUUCACUAGAGAACGAAGGAGAGUGUGAAUACUACUGCUAACGAACUAACAGAGUGGUGCAUCUGAUGGAUUGUUCCCCAAUGGAGAAAAGGUUCAAAUUCCAGUUUGACAAAAAUGAAAAUUGUACAAAAUGACCAACUAUACCCCUGGUAGGCUGCCCUCUUUAAGUACUGCCAUUUCCCUCCUCACCAAUUCCUUCACAUCACACCUUCAACGAUUCUCUCUUUCCAUACACCAAACUUAGUUACAGCCAUUCAAGGAAAGAAACAAUGGGCCGUCUGUCCUUCUGCAUUGUGCUCUUGUUGCCUUUAAUGUGGAUGGUUACAGAGGCAAGAAUCCCCGGAGUCUACUCCGGCGGCGGAUGGCAGCAAGCUCAUGCCACCUUCUACGGCGGUUCCGAUGCUUCUGGAACUAUGGGUAUUUUCUCACAUUCCGAAAUAUGCACUCAAAGUUACAAAAUGGAGUUACUCUGUUUCUUAAGCUCUGUUUUUAUUUUUGGGCUUCAGGGGGAGCUUGUGGGUACGGAAAUCUGUAUAGCCAAGGCUACGGAGUUAACACGGCGGCGCUAAGCACUGCUCUAUUCAACAACGGCCUGAGCUGCGGCUCCUGCUUUGAGAUUAAGUGCGCCGACGACCCGAGAUGGUGCCAUUCCGGUAGCCCUUCCAUUUUAAUCACUGCAACCAACUUCUGCCCUCCCAAUUUCGCCCAGCCCAGCGACAAUGGCGGCUGGUGUAACCCUCCUCGCCCCCAUUUCGACCUCGCCAUGCCCAUGUUCUUGAAGAUUGCUGAGUACCGCGCCGGAAUCGUCCCCGUCACCUACCGCCGGUAAGAUUAAAAAUCUCCCUUCACACUUUAUUUCUCCCCCCAUUUGUGGAAAAGGACCGAGCUGACAUGGAAUUUUUUGUUUCUUUGCAUACAGGGUGCCGUGCAGGAAGAGGGGAGGGAUUAGGUUCACAAUCAAUGGUUUCCGUUACUUCAAUCUUGUUCUGGUGAGCAACGUCGCCGGCGCCGGCGACAUUGUGAAGGUGAGCGUGAAAGGAGCGAAGACAGGGUGGAUGAGCAUGAGCCGGAACUGGGGUCAAAACUGGCAGUCAAACGCUGUCCUCGUCGGUCAACCUCUGUCGUUCAGGGUCACGGGAAGCGACCGGCGUACUUCCACUUCGUGGAAUAUUGCUCCGGCGGGAUGGCAGUUCGGCCAGACAUUCACCGGGAAGAAUUUCAGGGUCUGAGGGGUGAAAUGGUAAAUAGCAAUCCAUUAUUUACAAUUUGAAGAAAUUAAUCAUAAUUAACGACAGGAGCAAGAAUCCGAAGGAACUGGGUUUCUUUCUAAAAAGAUUCCCGCGGGAGGUGUUGUUUACGGUUUUACCCCUUGGCGCAAAUUACGCCGAGUUCUUUUUUUGUUUGUAAUUUGGGGAUUUGGGUAGUGAGAGUGUGAAAGUGGGGACUGUUUGAACUUUUGGUCAAUGGUCAUCUUUAUUUUUCUUGACCCACUUUUUUUUUUCAGUUUGGUGUGUUUUUUUUACUUUUUUUUUAUGAACCAUGUUGUUGGGUUUAGUUGACAAUGGUGGUUUAAAAUUGUAGGGUUUUGUUGUGGAGGUGUGAACGGUGGAGUUGAGAAGAAGAAGCUGAAGUGGCUGCACGAAAACGGCGUCGGCCCGCAGCUUCUAUAUAUGAUAUAGUAUAUGGGGUGAUUGGUGAUGAAUGAAUAUCAAUUGUAGUUACAUUUCUCCUUUUUUGUUUGUGUUAACAUGUUUUGAAAUAAUAUAUGUGUCAUCAUUCUCGACACAUCUUGAGAGUAAAAUCGAUGUAAUAUUAAAUUUACCUAUACAAUGGGGAGAGAAUAAUUAUUUUUCUAUAUGUUGACUAGUCUAAUUAUUAAUAGAUUGAUAAAUAAAUAUUUAUUCUCAGCUACAAGUGCCUAGUAAUUUUUUUUGUUAUUUAGUGACAUGGGAGGGGGAAGGGCACUAUGAAGAAGUGUACUGUGAAGUAUACGGUCAAUCACAUAUAGUAAUUUUCCAUUCUUUAUGUUGAUUAAAUUAAUUUUAACUGAAGAAACAAACAAACUUUCAGUUAGAUAAAACUGCAUUAUAACCAAUUUUGUUGUAAGUUAGUGACAUGUAAAAUAAGGUGUAUAUACAUAAUUGAAAGUUUAAAUUGUGAUGGGUCAAACCUAUUGGGUCAUUAACGCAUUAAAAGAAACGAUAAGAUGACGCAUAAUUGAAAACAUGGACUUAUUUGGUACAUAAAAGGAUAACCAAUUUACGAAUCUUGUUCCUCUCUUCAAUCGUGACAUCCAAAAGGGGUAACUAAAUGGGGGAUAGUUGAUAAUGUUCUACAAAAAAUACAAAACUUUGUGAGUGUACAUAUGCCCAUUACUCUUUCUAGGGAGAUCAUCAUGAUAAUGGGUGGAAGCAAAGCAAAGCAAAGAAUAUUUGUGAUGUUAUUUUGGGUAAGGGGACAAAAUUAGGAGCGCGGAGUUCGUUAUUUGGAUGCUGGUUAGCUACAAGAGAACAAGAUGUCCAUGUCUUUGAGUAGGCAAUGUUAUAAUGUUUUGUUUUUUUUGGUUUGGUUGGUGAUUAAACCGGUCGAGUUGAGACUAAUGGGUGUCAUCACAUCAAAUGGGCCCAGAUUUGGGGAUGUGGUGGGCCUGACAUGCACAUGGGAGGUGAAAGUGGGGUUGGUUUGAGGGUUUGGUGAAUGCUUGCCUAUAUGUGGGGCUCAAUGCGAGAUUUUUCCUUUCUUUUUUUUUUUGUUUUGUUUUGGGUUUUAGGUAUGUAGUGUUGCUUUCGGAUAAGGUUGGUUAACAGUAAAAUUAACCGAGUCGAUUAUAAUGGUUAAUCAUCGGUUGCCGUGGUUGGUAUAGUAUUAACAGUUAACCAUAGAUUAAGAAAUUGAAGUGAUAUAAAUUGGUGAUUCCAGCUGUCUGCCGUAGUGAAAGGACGAUCGCAAGUAGGCGCAUUGGAUGCCCGCCCUUAUUCGGGAGUUGGGUUCUCUAAUUGUCUCUUUCUUACUCAUUCGAAUUUAGAUAGUUGAUAUUCAAUUUUCAUUUAUAGUGGUUUUCGAAGUUGCUAACUUCAUUCCAAAAGACUGCAAUAUUGCAGCUUUUAUGAAGUUUAAUAGUUUGUUACCGCUUGCGUACCAAGUUGGACAUAUAUAACGUAACGAUCGAGUUAUAAUAAUAUGAUUUUAAUUUGGUAAAUUGAUCCAGAAAAUUGUAUUAGUCAAACAGCAAAGAACAAAGAGUGAUUACAACAGCAAAGAAAAGUACUGCCUACUGCCUGCAUGCUACAACUUCUUUGUCUCACACUCCCAGAAACUGGAGACGAUGCAGUGUAGAGCGUGGAACGGCACGACCGAAGCUGGGCCAUUGUUGCCGUCAAUUUCUCGACUCGUCUUGUUCGAAUAUAAGCUUAACUACUAGGCCCGUUAAUUUCACACCUGCAGCCCAAAUGCUUAUAGUCCGGGUAUCCAAGCCUAGCCCAACUCGUACACGGAUCCAAAUAGACCUCGGCCUGGACGCUUGACCCCUCUCAACGGUAGCAUGCAGGCAGUACUUUUACCAUGACAAAUUAAUUUAUAUCUAAAUCGUAACAUAUGGAAGAUGGUCUAACUUAUGAAUUCCGAAAUUUAGAAUUUUAAUAAUUUAGAAUUUUUUUUUAUUUUGAUGUGGUUUGAUAUGUUAUUAAGUAUUUAGUGGAUUUCAAAUUUAUACCAUCCGAUUUAGUACAUUAAAUCGAUUUUUUUGUUUCUAUAAAAAAUUUGUACGUUUAUAUAUUUUACCAUCAUGAUCCAUCCGACUUUUUAACACGACACAAUCAAUUAAAAAAAGCAAAGAAAUGCAAAAAUAGGCACACAUAGUUGCACUAUACACAAAAGUACUGUCACAUGCAUGUACUUCGAAAUUAAAUGCUAGCUAGUACUACUCCAACCCGACUCCAUACUUAUUAAACGUACAUCUUCACUUUCCCACACACACCGAUCAUCGUCUUCCUACCCACAUCUCUCCUCCGUCCCUCUUCCUCACCGGCGACAGCAAUGUCCGGCGUCUGGAUAUUCGACCGGCAAGGAGUCGCCCGACUCAUAUCCCACCCGACCCGCGAGUCCUUCGAGCAGAGAGACCACCACCACAACCACAACCACCAUGGGACGGCCACGGCCCCUGGUGCUAGGCCACGUGUCCUGGUCUACCUCCCGGAAGACCAGGUAAUCAAGUCGUACGACCAGCUCGAGCAGCGACUGGGCGAGCUCGGGUGGACCCGGUAUCAAAGACCGGACAGGAAGGAUAACGGGUUGGUUCAGUUUCACAGGUCUGAUUCGUGCGCUCAUCUCAUCUCUUUGCCUACGAGGUUUUCGAGCAUCAAGCCUUUCCAUAUGUACGACCUCGUCGUCAAGAACCGCUCCUUCUUUGAAGUUCGUGAUGUCCCUAAUUACUAGCUAAUUAAGCUACAUGAAUCAUGAUUGAUUAAUUGGAAGAAGCUUAUAAUCAAGUAAUGUAUAUAAUUAGUACUUACUACUGUCGACAAUCUGUCAAGUACACCCAAGUCCACUGUAUUUUAUUUUUUAUAUAUAUUCGGUUCGGUUCUCAUGUUGUGUUGAGUAGUUUGACUUGUUCUUUAAUGCAAAGGAGAUGAGACUGACGCUUAGCCCUUAGGGCACAGGCUAUAUAUGCAUGUAUAUGUAGCAGCUAUAAGCUACGGCCCAGCCUCUCUGGUUGUAUAUGUAGUAUAGCUGUUGCUGCAUGCUUGAUACAUCAUCAUCAUCAUCAACCAACACACAGUUAAUUACUCGGUGCAAUUCUUUUUUAUGUAACUACUGCAAUUGGUUUUGCCGACUUACUGUCGGAAUCGGAAUACCGGACUACAUUGUGAAGGUCGUAAACUUACUAAUGUCAAGCUUGAUAAUUAAAUAAAUAAUGUCAAACUUUUGUGACGAAAUAUAAUCCUGAUAUAACUAUAUGGUAAUUUGUGACCGACAAUUCACUUAGCAUUGAGACAACCAACAUUUAUUUCAUGGUGAGUUAGGUUAGUCAUGAAAUUCUAUUAAAAUCAACUCCACUUCAUCAAGAGGAACAAGCGAAAAUGGUCGUACAAGAGUUUUGACUUUUGAGAAUGGGUGGCCAAAAAUUGUUAUUUAUUGUAAAUUUGAGUGAUCGAAAUGUUAUCUAUCAUAAAUAUGAUUAAUAGAAAAAAAAAAUUAUUGGGUUUGUAAUUAAAUUUCUUAGCCACUUCAAAUUAGUGAAGCAUUUUUGCCAUAAAUGAAUGGAGUGAUCAAUUCGUUACCUACUUAAAACUUGAAUCAUGAGUUUGUUAAAAAAUAAUUAGGUCGAGUGACAACAACGUCUCCUACCACAAACUUGGAUGACCAAAAUGUUAAUUACCAACCCCAAAGUUGAGUGACCAAAGUGUUACAUAUGCCAAAGUUGAGUGACUGAUGAUGCUUGUAACUCUAAGUUUAAUUGAGAAGGCUUAUUAGAUAUAAUGUCGUGACUCUCUUUCUUGGUUUUGUAAUGAAAUCUCUUAGCCCCUUCAUAUUAUUGACGGGUUUUCACCGAAAAUGGAUGGGGUAACCAAUCCGUUACUUGAAAUUUAAGUCAUGUGUUUGUGAAAAAAUAAGAUCGAGUGAUCGAAACGUUACCUAUCCCAAAUUUUAUUGACAAAAUUUUGUUUUCUUCUUAUGAGUGAUUGAAAAAAAUAUUAUUUUUGAGUGACCAAGAUAUUACCUAUCUUUUACUAGAAUAACUGGCAAUGAUUUUAACCCCAAUUUUAAUGGAGAAGGCUUAAUUAUGAACUAUUUCCCUAGUUUCCAUCCAUGCAACUUCGUCCAAAAGGGGAUAUAGCUAGCCUAUGUGUUGUGCAUCGCAUCGGGGAUGGGCACUGUUUUUUUUUUGCUCUUUGUCUUUUUUUUUUAUAAUUCUAUUCACUCCCAUUUUCGUCCAUGACCGGACCACCAUCGUUUACCUAACUUACUUUUAAUGAUAAAUUUGUAUAUUAAUCGGAAGGAAGUAUCAAAUUUGAAUUCAAUUUAUACAAUAUUAUUGUAAUAUUUUUUUUAAUGAAUGAGCUCUUCUCAAUAUCCAAAGUGUCUGUAUUUUAUUAUUCUAGCAUCCAUGUCUACAAAGUUUGCCUCCACCUAAAUCCCCAUGAUUUGGUACGAGGUUAACUCUGGUUAAGCAGGCCAGUAGGCUGAACUCAGGAAGAUCCUAAUGGGCUACCAACAUGGGCCCUCUGCUGUUUCUUGAUCCGCUAAGAAUCCACCAGAGCUAAGCCCAAAUUGGAUACAGAAAUCUUCAUUCAUUUUUUUCAAACGGACAACAAUCUCGACUCUUUAAACUUCCUAUCUAACCCAACGCUUAAAUCAGGCGUGGAGAGAACGCGCCACCAUUACGAAGAGGAAUCAUGGCGGCACCUACAGGUAGGGUACCUGAAUUGAGGCACGACCCGGUCUCCAACCGAUGGGUCGUUUUCUCCCCCGCAAGGGCCAAGCGCCCUUCCGAUUUCAAAUCCAAGUCCCCGGAGAACCACCCUGAUCCCAAUUCCUCCGCUGCUAAUUCAUGCCCGUUCUGCAUAGGCAACGAGAGCCAUUGUGCCCCUGAGAUCUUCCGGUUCCCUCCCAAUCAACCGAACUGGAAGAUCAGGGUCAUUGAGAAUCUCUACCCCGCCCUCAGCCGAAUCGCGGAGGACGAUAAGAAGCAGCAGCAGCUGCACGAUCACGCCGCUGGUGGACGGAGCUUGAGCGGAUUGGGGUUCCACGAUGUGGUGAUAGAGGUUCCAGUUCACACCGUGCAGUUGAGCGAUUUGGGAGCUGGAGAGAUUGGCGAGGUCUUGCUUGCCUAUAAGAAGAGGAUUCUACAGAUUGCAAGCUUUGAUUCGAUCAAAUACGUCCAGGUUUGAUUCUGCUGUUUCUUUCUUACCAUUUGCCUUGUACGAUUGAAUUCGUAUUGUAGAGAAUAUAGAACCAAAAGUGUUUGAGCAAAAGUUAGCCUUGGACAUUUAACGAUGUAGUAUUUGUUUCGUAAGUUUGAUAGCAUCGAAGUACCUAAUCCCAAGAUGCACAGAAUCUCAAAUCAGAUGGUCUUGGUUUUGUGUGUGUGUUCAGAUAUUCAAGAACCAUGGAGCUUCAGCUGGUGCAUCUUUGAGCCACUCGCACAGUCAAAUACUGGCUCUACCCAUCAUUCCUCCUGCUGUUUCUGCAAGACUUGAUGGUACAAAGGAGUACUUCAACAAGACAGGGAAGUGCAGCUUGUGUGAAAUUCAAAGCAAGGAGCUUUUGAUCAACGAAUCAACCCAUUUCAUAUCGAUUGUCCCCUUCGCCGCGACAUUCGCUUUCGAGAUAUGGAUCGUUCCAAGGGUUCAUUCGUCUCAUUUUCACGAACUAGACUCUGAUAAGGCAGCCGAUCUCGGGGGAUUGCCGAGGAUGCUGCAAAGGUUCUAAGGGAGGUUAAUCUAUCUUGAUUCCCCAAGAAAAUAAGUUAGCGCGGGGGUUGGCAUGGAUUUACGAUGUAGUCUGCAGCGUUUACAGUCAAUUUGGAUACCUACAAAUCUGUCAUUGUCAAAUAUGAGCAUCAUACUUAUUUGAAGGAAUAAGAAUGUCAUUUUCGAACCUUUAAUAUCCAGCAAUAUCAAGGAAAAGUAUGCUUGAAUAUUAUUAUGCAUUCUGCAAUUUUCAAUUAGCCAAUUUCUUUUGGUUAAAACUGAAAUAAUGAAAUGUAGACAUUUAUAGUUCGUUUGAAUCGGUGAUUUAAUCUUUACUAAUCUCUCUUAAAUGAUCGUUCAUUAUAUAAUCAAUGCAUCAUGUUUUCUUUGCAAAACCCCUAUUGAGUGUGUAUGGUUGUGAUGAUAUGUGGGAAUCAAUAAUUUUGUAAGCUUAUCAUUUUGCGACAAGCUUAAUUAUUAAUGACACGCUAACCACAAGAUCAUCAUUUACUAUAAUUAUAUACAAAUAUCCUUCACAAGUAAGCAAUCUUGUUUUUGGCUACACUUCUUGAUGAUAUCCAUGGCUAUUUAUUUGAUUGCUUGUUUUAUCUUACAAGUUACCUACCCUCUAUGCCGUACAUUCCUUCAAUAAAACAAUUGCAAUUGCCGAAAGACGGGCAUCAUUUUUUUUUUAAAUCAAAAUUAAUGCAUCAAAUAAAUGGUUCAUCUAUGGACAAAAUAUUUUCACAGAGUUCAAAUAGUCAUCGGGAGGUGUUUUCUCGUAAACAAAUUACACCAGUGAACGCGAUCGACGAGUAAAUUUGUGAGCAAUGACGUUCCUACAUUUUUUAAACCACUCAAUUCUAAACAUAGGUUUACUGUUAAGGUUGUGUCGGCAUCACCGAAUAAUUUUGUGUACUCUACGAAAAUGUUACAAAACCCUUGGUUACUAUCUGAAAGUCGGUCUCAAUUAUAGCUUUCUCGUAUCGCAUGUCUCUAAUCCACUUCGAGUUAUGUUUCAACGCACACACUUCCUCUUCUCCCAUUCUAGCUAAACUGACCGCUUUUGUACAUAAAAAAAAUGUAGCAUACCACUUAUAUCAUCACGCACAACCAAUCCCACACAAUAGUUGUUGUUCUAGGAAAAAAAGGGGAAUAUAAACGUUACAUUUAACAUACUCUAAUAGUGAAGAAUGUCACUGAAAACACGAAGUGAUAAAUAUUUGUGGUUGUCACUCAUCCCUGAUCAAUAGCUCAAUCACUCUUGUGAGACAUCCAUACACACAUCUUGUAAUCAUCUAUUAUGUGCUAAUUUAACCAUUUCAAAUUCGCUUGUUAUACUCUCGCCACAGUCCAAACAAUAGCCGGAAAGACGGCCAUAAUUGAAAGACCUUAUUACACUUUUGUUAUGAAAUAAAAUUUCAUAUGUACUCUCACUUUAUAAUUUACGUAACAAUUUUUGUAGGAACCUUGGGACAAUCAAAGGUUGCCUUUCUAAACAGAAGAGGUUAACAAAAUUAGGUAGAUGGGUCAACUGCCAUGUGAUUCGGUUUCAAAAUUUAAAUUUUUACUUCCCUUAAUCUCGUAAUUAAUCCUCCAAAUUACAAACCCCACAAAUUCCAAACUAAAAACAACAAUAACCAGCACACAGCACCCCAUUGAUGAUUUGAUUCUUCUUCUGUCACAGCUCCACUCUCUCCCCCCCCUCCUCUUUGAAUUCCUCUGAGAUGCCAAAGCUCGUCCUCUCACAAAUUCCUUCCCUUCAACCCCUCUCCCUAUUUCCCUCCCCUUCCACCCUUGUUAAUCGAAUGAGAUCAUGAAGUGCUUCCACUUCUCCAACGGCGGCGGGGCCGCGCCCGCCCCAUCAACCGCCACACGCCGACGCGGCGGCAGCCGCUGCGAGGCCGGCGCCGGCGGCGGCGGCGCCGCUUCUUCUAGAAACUCGCGGAUGUCGUGGGCGAGGUCGUUGAGCGUGGCCUCUACUAACGUCGACACCAGGAGAGGCUCGUCGGACUUGUACUGCUACUCCUCUAGAGACUUGUCCGAAUCCGUCGCCUUCUACGAUUUCUUAUCACAUCGGAGAGCCAACGAUUUGCACGUCUUCUCCUUCGCCGAGCUCAAAGCGGCGACCAAGGGGUUCAGCAGGUCGCUUUUGAUCGGAGAGGGAGGAUUCGGUUGCGUCUACCGCGGUGUCGUUAGGGUUCCUAAUUGCGUUUACGGGUUCCUAAUUGCGUUGACGACGGCUGUGAUUCAGAGACGUUGGAUGUUGCUAUCAAGCAAUUGAAUCGUCAUGGUUUCCAGGCAUGUUCCUGUUUUGUUUUUUUCCCCUUACCUGAUCAAAAUUUUUAUUGGAUUGAUCGUUUGAAUCAGGUUAGGUUGAAUUUCUAGUGUUACAGGGACACAAAGAGUGGAUCAACGAGGUGAAUUUCUUGGGCGUGGUUAGCCAUCCGAAUUUAGUGAAGUUGGUUGGAUAUUGCGCUGAAGAUGACGAAAGAGGGAUGCAGAGGCUCCUGGUUUAUCAGCUCAUGCGUAACAAGAGCUUGGAAGAUCAUCUCUUAACUCGAACUCCUUCGCCUCUUCCGUGGAUCACAAGGUUGAAGAUUGCUCAAGAUGCUGCUCGUGGAUUGGCUUACCUCCAUGAAGAAAUGGAUUUUCAGGUCUCUCUUAGCUUUCAUUUCAUUCCUGUCAAGAAGAGCUUUUCAGUUGUGUGUUUGUGCUUAUUGUGUUAGUUCUUUUAUGAUGCAGCUGAUAUUUCGAGAUUUCAAGGCGUCCAACAUCCUGCUAGAUGAAGAUUUCAAUGCCAAGCUAUCAGAUUUUGGUUUAGCCAGACAGGGUCCUCCUGAAGGGCUCAGCCAUAUCUCAACUUCAGUAAGUUUUUCUUGCUUUGAUGAACUUUCGGAAUGCAAAGAGUCAAACUUAUGAUCUGGAACUGAUGUAGAAUUUGUGGUUUAGGUUGUGGGAACAGUUGGUUAUGCAGCACCAGAGUAUGUACAGACCGGAAGGCUGACAGCGAAGAGCGAUGUGUGGAGUUUUGGAGUGGUUAUCUACGAGCUUAUUACAGGCAGGAGGGUGAUGGAGAGAAACCUACCAAGGGGAGAACAGAAGCUCUUGGAAUGGGUUCGGCCAUUCGUAUCCGAUCCAAAGAAGUUUCAUCUCAUCGUAGAUGCCCGGUUGGAAGGAAAAUACUGCCUUCGAUCGGCGCAGAGAGCAGCAGGAUUGGCAAACAAAUGUCUCAGCAGACAGCCCAAGUCCAGGCCUAGAAUGAGCGAAGUGGUUGAGUUGUUGGGGAACAUCAUCAGCGAGACAUCAAUCGAGGAAGAGGAGGAAACUGCUGGAUCCAAAAUUGAAAAGGUUAAAGAGGAGAACCCAAUAGUGGCCGAGCCAGAGUGCAGCAGUAAGAGCAGAAACAGAUACCUGAAGAAAGUUUUGGAUAUGAGAGAGUUCAAGAGCUUUAGGUCGAUUGGGAAGCAGCUAGAUUGGAGAAACUGGACUCCUGGUCUCAUAAGAAGUUCAUAAGUUUUCGGGCAGUUCUCGAAAAUCCUCUGAUACGGCGAUUAGAUAGGUUUGGUUGUCCACGAGUUUAUCUUCACUGAGUAUAUGUAUAUGCUUCCAUUUCCUACCGGAGUAAAUAGAAUCGAAACUUUACGUGGCCUCUUGUUCUGCAUUUGUCCAUCAUGAAAUCCAAGUUCGAAAAAAUUGCUUAUUCCGAAUCGUAAUCUGAUGUGAAAAAAGUUGCAGGUGACAGCACUGUUGCAGCAUCAAGAAGAAAGAAUCUACGGAAGGUAGUUGAUUCCAUUUCCACUACUGCAUAGUCUGCGUAAAGUUGCUGUCUUUGAUUAUCUUUUUCGCGUAAAGACUGAACCUUUUCUGCAAAAUUCCACGGUGGUGGUCUUGUGUACUAUGAUGAACAACGUUUCAAAGUAGGAAUUGUGAUACUAAUCAGCGUUUUAAGUCUUGGGUAGGGUGUAAAGAGGAAUGAGACAACAUGUUACAGUGAACAUGUGAAUACGGUUUCUAUAAUUGCAGAUCAAGACAAUGUCUUGAAAGUGAAGAAUCUUGAUACCAGGUGAUUGAUUGGGUAUGAAAUCUGAGGCUUACAGCAGCCUUCUGGGAAAAUUACAGGACAAGACUUGUCUGUCGUGGACCCAGCUAGGCCCAUUUCACAGGGUAUGAAUACAGAGUGACUUCACAAUCGCGUACAGUUGCUGUCGAUGAUAAUAAAAGCUGUCACUGCAUAUGACCAAGUCGUGUGUAGGCUAAUAGUUCGGACCAAGUCAUAUAUGAACUGUUAACAUGUUUUUCUCCCAUUUCACAGUAUAAUCACUAAGUGUUUGUUUGUUAUGGAAGAAAUUUGGAGAUUUUUGUGAAAAUUCAGAGUAAAAAAAAUAUUUGUUUGUUUAGUUUUAAUUGACCAGUGUUUUACGAAAAUACGUUUCCUCUGAUCUCACAUUUCUUCUCAAAUGUGUAUUUUUCAAAUACAUGGUGUUGAUGAUGUUUUCUUCAAAACUCCGAGUUUUUGUAAACAAUAGAUAGAUAUUGUCAUUAUUACCCCCAACUUCCUUUCCGGCUAUAACGACUAUAACAAUCGAGGUGGAGAAUAAAAGUGGGGUAUUGGUUUGAUGUCGGAUUUAUUCUCAUUUAUAUUUAGUAAGAUAUGGUAUGAGUAUGGUACAAUAUUAAUACGUUCAUAGUUUCAUACAUUGUUUUAACAUAGCAAUACGUUUAAAAUUUCGGCAACAAUUAGAAAAUAUUAAAAUUUUAAAAUUAAACGGCUCUACAAUAGUAAGAGAACGGAAGUUCUAAACGCAUAUAGUACGUAUAUGUGUAUUAUACGAGUAUUAAACGAAUUUUUGCUAACUAGAAGAUGAUGGGUCUUGAAAUUGGAUUUCAAAUAAGGGCAUCAUGCACACCGGUGGGAUAUUGGUUUUAUUGCACAAUAAAUCCCUAACAAAUGAAAAAUUGUAUUUCAAUUGCAAACAUUGUCACCAACACAAUGUAAUUAGAAUUACACAAUCUCUUCUUCCUCAAUUCCCUUUUUUUACUUUUCCCCUACUUUCCAUUACUCAAUACCAAACGAGAUAACACUUUUUUUAGAGGGUGAAAAACUCCAAACAAGUUAUGCAAGGAUAGAGCAGGAUCAACGAUACAAAUAGAACGAAUACUAAGAGAUAAACUAUUACUUAAGCUAGCUAAAUAGUGUUCUGUCCGAUUGUUUUGUCGAUAGAUAUGUUCAACCUCGAUCAUCUAAUCCCGAUCCAACAUUUUACAGAAAUUAACGAACGUAAAAAAGUGCGGAUGUGUAUUCGCACUCUUAGCUAGCAUAAAAACUAAAUCAGACUAUUCUUAUACUUUGCGAUACCUCUCUCACAAACUAUAUACAAUCAUGUCACAACCGUUCACAAUUCAACCUAUAUAGGUUUGGUGUAAUACAUGAAUUUGAAAACAAGGUAGUAAAAAUUUGCAGAACAUGAGCCGAUAACGGGCUUCCCUAAAAGUCUUGGCCCUCGGUAUGUUCAGAUUAUGGGCCUGUCUCUGGGCUUUUACAUGAGUCUUGGCCCUGUAUCGUACUUUUUAAAGGAAAAAAUUACAGCUAGUGUGAAUGAUCAAAAUCCAUACGUACAUAUUCUUUUUUUAACGUUGAAUUUCAUUUCCCUGAAAAUCGGUUACAAACUGUGAUUCAAGAUAGAAAAGUCAGCAAGUACAAGUUGUAGAAUUCAGUCCUGAUGCAAAGCACGAGCUCUGGAGGAAGUAGCCACUCAAUUAGCAAUCCUGUCACCAUUCCUGGGGAUGAAGUGGAACUUAAUACUCUACACGUUUGCAAUAAGGUGAAAGAUCGAUCUAACGGUAGCAUAACAGUCUCACGACCACAGGAAGGAUCGAUUGUUGAUGAUAUUGACCAAUGUUAUGUUAUCGAAAAAAAUGGAUGAUGGAUCCAGACUUGCAAUUGCUACUUUGGUUGCCUCGAGGUCGGCUCUCGCUUUCACCCCAAUAGCCGACGAGCAGAAAAAGUUACCAUUCUUUCCAUCACAAAGUUGAUCAUGUGUGUCUCUAACUACGACACAAUAAACCGCCUCAUGAGAAUAACUAAAGAACGAUCCAUCACAAUAAAUACGUCGUAACGGUGUAUAUAUCAUUAUAAGAACACCACCACAAAGCAUGUUGUGAAGUGUGUUCCAUAUGUUCUUCAAAUGCCUUGUCUCCCAGCUCUGCAUAAUGCUUGAUCCACACAUGCUUUAAACCUCAGAAAUUAUCAUAACCCUAAUCCAAUGAUCUAGGGGAGCUUGGAUGUAUAGAGCAGGGAGACAAAGUUGAAAAUCUGUACCUGCAAGGCUACAACUGUUUUGGCGGAGAAGGAUGAACAAACUAACUGUUUUUAAUUGUUUCAAGUUAAAUGAGAUCAAUCUUGAUAUAUUUUUGUUAAAGUAGAUCUUUCAAUAAUACAAUGGUAUCCCUUGAUGGGAUGUACUGGAUUCGACCCGGAGGUCUUUAGGGUCACCGACACACAACUUGACCACUAAAGCAAUCUUGAUAUAUUUUACUUUGUAUUUAUGUUAUGACACAAUCAAAAAUUUAUAAUGUUACUAGAAAAUCGAUAUAAUAAUGACAUAAUAGUCUCUUAUAACAAUGUUAUAAUAUAAUCAAGCAAUAACAAUAUCAUUUUACCAACUUAACAAUGUUAUAAUAGUUGAGACUCUCUUCCUCGUCUCCACUUGUUAACUUCCUCUCUCUAUCUUGAUUUCCGAAAUGCUUUUAAUAUUGAUACCAGAAUAUAAUAGUUGUUUUCCUGAUAAUAAUUUUUUUUGAAGGAUAUGAGAUUCGAGAUAUUAAAGCUUUUGUGNNNNNNNNNNNNNNNNNNNNNNNNNNNNNNNNNNNNNNNNNNNNNNNNNNNNNNNNNNNNNNNNNNNNNNNNNNNNNNNNNNNNNNNNNNNNNNNNNNNNNNNNNNNNNNNNNNNNNNNNNNNNNNNNNNNNNNNNNNNNNNNNNNNNNNNNNNNNNNNNNNNNNNNNAUAGUAAAAUUAUUUACUAACUAAAAAUUCCAAAAAUAAUUUUUUUUUGGUAAACUAGAAUUCAUUAAACCACAUAAAAUUAAAGAUUCCAAAAAUUCAAAGCAAACACCUCCACAUAAGAAAUAAUAAUAUCUAGAAAGUAGAUCAAAACAAGUAAAGCAAUUUCAUCAGCAAGGCUGUCUUUAUGUGCAAUUUUAUUAGCAAAGUACUUUCCGUGAUCUUGUUUUGUCAGAGAUCUCUGUAAACUUAGAUCAGACAUCUUUUGUUAGGAUAUAGAGUUUCAUCUUGUGUCGAUGAAGAGCAAUAGUUGCAAAUCAUACACUUAUCAACCAAUGUUACUUGGUAACGAGGAUGGAUGUGUGUAUCUCUACUAUAUAAUCUUCAGGCUUGGAUGGAAGUAGCUGCAGCUGCAUUUUGAAUCUCUAAACGACGCCCUAGAUAUAGUGAAUUACUGUACUUGGCGCCAUUUCUUUGAUUCUAGUAGCUCCUAUUGCUACUCCAAGAAUCACAAAGAAUCAGAUUUUCAACAACUUGUUCUUAGUCUCCAAGAAGAAGUAAAAGAGAUAAGCUAAGGAACAAUGGCUGCAUCUUCAAGCCAAGCUUCUGGAAAUCCAUUCGGAUCGGGGCAUCCCUACUUCAAGAUCAAAAUCAGCCCAACUUAUCUGAAUGCUUGCCAGCGAAUGGUACGUCUCUUCCAACCAUACAAAGAAAAGUUUGUUUUUUCCUGCACUUUUAUAGUUUUGAUCGACUGUAUGUGUUCUUUUAUACUUUUGGCAGAACAUACCAUCCAAGUUUACGACCCGUUCUUGAGAGAUGUGGAGCGGGUGAAGCUGGUGGUAGGGGACAAGGUUUGGCCAGUUAGGGUCUGUCUUGCAGGGGACAAGUAUGUGUAUGUCAAGCUGGCCUCUGGCUGGAUGGCAUUUGCAGAAGAUAACUCGCUGAGACUCGGCGAUGUUUGCGUGUUCCAUCUGAUCCCUGAAGUCCUAAUGAAGGUCAACAUAAUUAGAGGUGUCUGUAGGUGUUUAAUUUGUUAUUAUGAUGACUCUUUAAGAUUGUUAGUCAGAUUGUAGUAUUAAUUACGUAAACCAUUUGAACCCUUUUAAGGUUAAUUAUGUAUUCUGGAUUUUUCAGACUUAUUAGUCCUAGCUAGCCACUUUCUUUCUGUUGAUUUUAUUUCAUCUAAAGUCUGCAUCUUUACCACUGUAUUUCUGUUGAAUUGCCAUUCCAGAAGACGUUUCUGCCAUUCAGACGACAGUCAUCAUCCGACUUGGUCUUCACAUUUACAACACUUUCGAGGCAACUUCAAUUUUACGGAGUAGCUGACCUUCGGUUGCAGCAUCUUUCUCCUAAGAACUCAGGACCAUUACUUCUAGUCUAUGAUCUUGAAAUGCACCAACUUACCGCUCCAAGUUCAUAAUCAUCAAAUAAAAACCGUACAUACAAACAUCUAUACAAUGCAUUGUCAAAAAAAUCGACAGCACUUUCUCUCCAUUAACAUUUCCGCUCAACAACACUCUCAAGCAUGUUGAGGAGAAGCAGUGGGGCGGCUAUACGCGCCACUGAUCCUUCUCCUGCGACUAGCAUCAUCCGCGCUUCUUCUCCGCCACUUUGUUGGUGCACUAUUCGCCUGAUCGCUCGAGUUGUUGCUCAUCUCGUUCGACUCAAUGAUGUCCUCCAAGAUCCUCACCACCUCUUCCAUAUUCGGUCGCAGCUUGGCCUCUAUUGAAAUGCACCUCAACGCAAGUGAAGCAGCCUUGAACGCUACUUCCAUCGUGUAUUGCCCUUCAAGCCGAUUGUCCAGGAUCUUGAACACCUUGCGCUUGCUCCCGAUGUACGGUUUAGCCCAUUCCACAAGAUUGUGCUCCCCCGAUGGCCGGUUUUUGUCGAUCGCUCUCCUCCCUGAUAACAUCUCUAGCAACACCACUCCAAAGCUGAACACGUCGCUCCUUGGUGUCAAAUGUCCUAUUGUAUAUAGUCACAUUGAAUUAAGCAAAUGACGCGGUGAAAGUUUUCAUCGUCACAUUUAUCACAAACUUCGACGCAAACAUACCUGUGGCAAGGUACUCAGGAGCAGCAUAACCAUAUGUUCCCAUAAUCCUUGUGGACACAUGACUCUUGUCCCCGGUCGGACCAUCCUUGGCUAAUCCGAAAUCGGAGAGUUUAGCAUCAUACUUCUGCACAUUACAUUAGAAUAUGCAGUUUUAAAGACCAUAACGGUUGGUCACUAGUGACGUGUUCAGAAAACCAAUCACUAUUUGUCAAUGAAACUGCAUUUUCCUGUAGUAUAUGAUAACAACUUACUGUAUCAAGCAAGAUGUUAGAAGUCUUGAAAUCGCGAUAAAUGACCUUUGCUUGGGAGCUGUGAAGGAAAGCAAGCCCCUCUGCAGCACCAUGAGCAACCUUCAACCUUAGGUUCCAUGAAAGAGGCUGGAAAUAAGAGCCUCCUGACAUGAACAUCAGACAGACAUGUAAAUGAAUGAUAUAAAAAUCAAUCAGAACUAGAUAAUCAUCAAAUCUGUGUUACUACGACUCACUUCUGAAGAGAUGAUUCUCCAAGCUUCCGCGAGGCAUGAACUCGUAAACGAGAAGGCGAUGCUCGUCUUCCAAGCAAUAGCCAAUGAGCUUGACCAAAUGAGGAUGGCAGAAUUGUCCCAAGUAGUUGACUUCAGUCAGCCACUCCUUGUGACCUUGGUAGCUUUCCUUGUUCAGCCUUUUGACAGCUAUGACCAAUCCGGUUCCGGGUUUGGUUGCAGUGAACGUAAUCUCGUCAAUCCAUCCUUUGAAAACCGAACCAAACCCACCUUCGCCUACCACACUAUCCGGUCGAAAAUUCCUGGUGGCUUGCUUAAGAUCAGCAAAACUGAAGCUCUUCAAAUUAGGAGACUGCAGUAUGUCACCCUCACUCCUUGGAGUUUGAGGCACUGAUAGAUUUCCAUUGUUGCUUUCGCAGCCAACGUAGUUCGGAGGACUCGCCCCCUUUCCCGAUCCAUUGGCGUCGCAACUUACGUGCCUCGAACUCGCCCCUACAACAUUGUAACACACCAGUAAUAGUCCAAAAUUUGGUUAGAAGAGAUUAAAUGUUUUAACCAAACAGUUUCAUAGUUGGGUAACUGCUUGCUUGAUAGCUAGACUAAAAAGCAAACUUGGAAGAAAUCUUCACUAAAGAUUGAAACUUCUACUGAUAAACCCCAUCAUGACACUAACAGAAACAUCAUUUGAUUCAAAUGUGCUACAAGAUAAGGAUACAAUUGAAAAUAGGGCUACAAUUCACAAAUUCGUGAAACAGAAAAGGAAACCAGAGCAAUGGCGGAAUCAGGGAUGGUCGAACCAAAGUCGCCGCAUAAGACCUCUCGACCUUAAAUUGACGAAAUCCUAUAUAAAAUUUUCAAAAUUGAAGUUUUUGCCUAGUGUGUUUUCAAAUUUCGUUUUCAGGAUCUCCGACCAUCUACUGAUCCAGAGUCCAGACCAACAGAAACAGAAUCCAGAGCUGUGGACUUAGAUAUGAUCAAUCCAGAUUAAAUCCCAGAAACGAAGAAGGGAAGAGGGUUUACCUGUGUUAAUAGGGCUCUCGGCUUUAAUCUGGGCACUUAAGCAAGCCCCCAUCAGAAAUCAAAACCCAGAAACUAUUGCCCUGCAUACAAGAGAAAACAGAGGAGGUCUGAGGGCAGAGUGAUACUGGAAAAUCCCAAACUGGGUUUGAUUUGUUUAUUUAUGAUAUGAAAGGAUAAAAGGUAUGAUUUUCUUUUACGGGUUUAAGGAAAGAAGGACGGCAAACAGUUGCAUCCGUGCAAUUUGACCAAUUUUGCUUUUCUUUCUUAUCAAGUCACAGAUAAAAAGGAAGAUGGAAAAAGUGGAGGUGGAAAGCAAACGACAGAGAGAUUUCAGAGGAAUCCCACCGUAGAGAGCAGAGAAAGAAGUCGUUGGAAGGGGCAAGUGGAGUUUGUGAGAUAGAUUAGAUUUAGCUAUUAACUAAAAUGGGAAAACGAAAGAUUUAACGGGUGCUGCAAGUGCAGUGGUGUCAACUGUCAAGAAAGGAACAGGACCAAAUGGUAGAUGGAACAAGAAGAAGAAACAAUGGAAUUAAUGGCGGGAGAGAGGAGGGUUGAAGUUGGGAUGGUCCCACUUUGGCCAGACUCGAUAUUUUACUAUUUUUCUUCUUCUUCAGUUCUUCCUGAGGAGGCUUUUCAGAGUUUCUAGUUUGCUGAAAGUCAUCAUGAUCUUCUUCUUUUUAUCCUCUUCUUCUGUUGACAGAUCAGGCGUCUACGUUUACUCUAAUAAAAAUCUGGAAAAAAGGAUUUUUUGUUCUAAUUUAAUUUGAGGGGUUUUCUCGCUCUGUCAACCAUUCAAUUGGCGACAAAUAGUAGUAGAUGAGUGUAUAUUCCCAUUUAAAACCUUCCCUCCUCAAAAUACAACAUUAUUAAUUACGCUAUUCGAUUUGGACAGAUAUUGUAUAUCAUCUUUAUUAACUUCGGUUGAUAACAGAGAUUAUUCAUAUUAGACAAUUUAAAUAAGAGAUUUGGAACACAUGAAUAUGAAUAAUGUGGGAUGAUUGAAGAUGAUAGUUAGACAUUAUAUAUGUAUUUAGAUUAUUUGGUUUAAUUGAAAGAUCUACAUAUCUGAUUCUGAUUGAUAUAUUUAUAGAUUUAUUCUAGAUCACACUUCUUAAUAUGGACAGUAAUUUCUCUUUUGAAAUUCUUCAUAAGAAUUAAUUUUUUUUUGUCGAAUAGAAAAAUUAACUUGAAUGUUGCCAUUUUUCUCUCUAAAAUAAUAUAACUUAAAUAACAAAUAGCAAAUAUGUUACCUUAUUCAAUUGGAUUGCACAGUUAUUAUUUUGUUCAAAUGAAGUUGCUUCGAUGAUAAAAAGUUUCAGAUAAUCCAGCAUACUUCGCGAAUGAAUCAUAUAUUGGCAUUAUUAUUUUUUCUAUUUUGUAUUAAUCGAUACAAUGUAAAAAAACUAUAUACUGUUUUAACUUUAAACAUGAUUAAUUAAUCAAGUUGGUCCAAGAGUUUAUCUAGUACUGAACUGGUAUUUGGAAUAGAGUACUUGGGUUUAGAUGAGACGCAAGUUGGUGGUGGUGCCUGGUGCAUAAUAGACAACCACACAAAUAGAAGAUGAAGAGUCGUCUCCAACAUGUAAGUUGGCAGUUUCCGUCCGCCGCCGAGCCCCACCUCAUCUCAUCGGCGCCGGUUCUUGCAGUGAUUGUUACGUAGAUAGAUAGACGGUUACCUUCCAAAUUGCAGGAAUGAGGAUAGAUCAAUUUAACCCGGUAGGGACAGAUAGGCUACUGAAGUUGACCUCACUGUCUCAUUGCUCUUUGAACGUGACUCAUUACAUGGCUGAGCUGCCAAUCUCUCAUCUUCCCAAGCACGGCACAGACAUAUUGUAGCUUCCAAGCAAUCCUACCCCGGGUCCGACAAGAGAAGGAGUUACCUCUGUUUGUUUUCGAACUGUGGUUUAGAUUCAUGUGGUCAUAAGAUAUUACAUUUUAACCCUUAGAAUAUUUUACGUGAAUAGCUUCGAAUAUAUAAAGUUUAGAAUUGAUUUCUAUAAGGUUAAUUAAUUAUGUUAUGCCCAAACAGCAAUUAAUUUACUACUGGAGCUCCUAACACGCGUCACAAGUUCAUACCAAGGAACAGCAUCCCAGGUAACAUGAGAUAAGCAAUGACCAGAAAUGGAGCAAAACAUGUCCAAGAUACACAGGGGGUCUAAAGUAUUAGGGUAUUAUUAUGAGUUUUGAUUAAUAGUCGGUUAUACUACAACGUCAGUGCAUCGGCAAGCAUGCUUUCAACUGCUUAUAUUAUCCUCAGAAUAUUCUAAUCCUUCUUCUGUUGUAACAAUGGGUUUGUUCAUUUGUUUACCUAACAAAAUCGAAGGUUGGGGAUUAGUGGGGGCUUGGGGGUUAGGCAAGUUGGGAAAUUUGGAACACAUAGUAAUGAAUAAUGUGGACCCUGAGGAUUGCGUGCGAUUUCAUUCACCAUUAACGUGACUUUUUUGAGCAGGGGACGAAGUUUGGGUUUGAAAGUUGAAAGUGUACCAACCAACAACCACCUAAAAGCAAAGAAAUCAGACAUGCCAGUCCAAAAUUUCACUUUAAGCCAGUGACGCAUUAGUUGUUCAAGGCGUUGAGUUAUCGCUGAUGAACAUCUAUCUAUCUUCUAUGAUCUCCAAUUUGAUUUCCUGUGACAAAAAGUCUCAUAUUAUAGGUCAUUCUUUGGCCACAAAAGUCGUUUUUGCGGACUGGUUUGUUUUGGGAAAUAGAAGGUUCAGAACCCACUGUUAGUUUCUUCUCAUGCAACCUAAUGAUGAUUCAUCUCGAUGAUGACUAGUCUGCAAGAUAUAACAAGAUCGUCCAGAGUGUGCAUUCUCCUCGAUAACGAUCAUUUUAUCGGCAUCUAUUGGUACGGUCACCGGAUGCCAACGAUAAUCAGUCUCUCUGAUUUUAACUGGGAAUAUGAUGUCAUUUUGUUCUCUAGCAGAAGAUGAUGAGAUGUUGUCCCUGAUUGACAUCGAUGUCGGGGUUGAAGCCGGAUCGACAUUGAUGUAACAAAAGAAGAGGGGUGUGGAAGCUUAUGAUGCAAUCCGAAUUGCCGAAGAUAUUAAAUUUUCCAUGGAAUAAAAAGGCCAUGAAAUUUGUGGCUGGAAACACGCAAACUGCAGAAGGCCAAUAAUUUGUCACCUUUGCAAAUUAUUGACCUUUGCAGAUAAUUUGUCAGUUAGUAAGCGUGAUCGACGGAAACAGUGGCCGCCCCUCCCCUGUAGUCUAGUCCGUACACCUAUCCGUAUUGAAGAAGAAGAAAAAAUGAACUCUUUGACUGUUGGUGGCAGAAAAGAUAUCAACUUUAUAAACCCAGAAAAAAAGGGAAUGAACUCCUCCUCCCAAUUCGGCUGAAACUUGGACCUUGUAGUAGAAACAUUAAACACAAAACAAAAGGAAAAAGCAACACUGAUCGAUCAAAGCCCGUCUGUGUUUCAUAAUCUCAAAAGUGAACUACUCAGCAAAGCAACACGCCCAGCAAUAAUCGGCAGUAAAAAAAGAAACCCCUACAGUAUAUAGCAGAGGCAAUUCCCUAAUAUAUACCGGGGAUUGGUUCAUCCGAGUACUUAUUUAUAUUCUUGCUUCAACCUAAUUAAAGACGACCUCAAACACAGACAACCCAAGUCAUCGCUGCUUUCCAGAAUAAUCAAUCUCAA
rnacentral:lncRNA from 1 species